rnacentral:tRNA from 1 species
GGAGAGGUGGCCGAGUGGUUGAAGGCGCCGCUCUCGAAAAGCGGUAUCCCCUUUGGGGAUCGUGGGUUCGAAUCCCACCCUCUCCGCCA